rnacentral:rRNA from 1 species
UACGUAGGUGGCAAGCGUUGUCCGGAUUUACUGGGCGUAAAGAGCGCGCAGGCGGUCGACCAAGUCGCGUGUGAAAGCCCCCGGCUCAACUGGGGAGGGUCACGCGAUACUGAUCGACUCGAAGGCAGGAGAGGGUAGUGGAAUUCCCGGUGUAGUGGUGAAAUGCGUAGAUAUCGGGAGGAACACCAGUGGCGAAGGCGACUACCUGGCCUGUUCUUGACGCUGAGGCGCGAAAAGCUAGGGGAGCAAACGGGG